rnacentral:rRNA from 1 species
AGCGAACGCUGGCGGCAGGCUUAACACAUGCAAGUCGAGCGGGCGUAGCAAUACGUCAGCGGCAGACGGGUGAGUAACGCGUGGGAACAUACCUUUUGGUUCGGAACAACUGAGGGAAACUUCAGCUAAUACCGGAUAAGCCCUUACGGGGAAAGAUUUAUCGCCGAAAGAUUGGCCCGCGUCUGAUUAACUUGUUGGUGAGGUAACGGCUCACCAAGGCGACGAUCAGUAGCUGGCUGAGAGGAUGAUCAGCCACAUUGGGACUGAGACACGGCCCAAACUCCUACGGGAGGCAGCAGUGGGGAAUAUUGGACAAUGGGCGCAAGCCUGAUCCAGCCAUGCCGCGUGAGUGAUGAAGGCCCUAGGGUUGUAAAGCUCUUUUGUGCGGGAAGAUAAUGACGGUACCGCAAGAAUAAGCCCCGGCUAACUUCGUGCCAGCAGCCGCUGUAAC